GACGAACGCUGGCGGCGUGCUUAACACAUGCAAGUCGAACGGAAAGGCCCUGCUUUUGUGGGGUGCUCGAGUGGCGAACGGGUGAGUAACACGUGAGUAACCUGCCCUUGACUUUGGGAUAACUUCAGGAAACUGGGGCUAAUACCGGAUCGGAGCUCCUGCUGCAUGGUGGGGGUUGGAAAGUUUCGGCGGUUGGGGAUGGACUCGCGGCUUAUCAGCUUGUUGGUGGGGUAGUGGCUUACCAAGGCUUUGACGGGUAGCCGGCCUGAGAGGGUGACCAGCCACAUUGGGACUGAGAGACGGCCCAGACUCCUACGGGAGGCAGCAGUGGGGAAUAUUGCACAGUGGGCGGAAGCCUGAUGCAGCAACGCCGCGUGCGGGAUGACGGCCUUCGGGUUGUAAACCGCUUUCGCCUGUGACGAAGCGUGAGUGACGGUAAUGAGUAAAGAAGCACCGGCUAACUACGUG
rnacentral:rRNA from 1 species